rnacentral:rRNA from 1 species
UUUGAUCCUGGCUCAGGAUGAACGCUAGCGGCAAGCUUAAUACAUGCAAGUCGAGGGGCAGCGCAGUGUAGCAAUACAUGGGCGGCGACCGGCAAACGGGUGCGGAACACGUACAGAACCUUCCUUCGAGCGGGGAAUAGCCCAGAGAAAUUUGGAUUAAUACCCCAUAGUAUAUUGGAGUGGCAUCACUUUAAUAUUAAAGAUUUAUCACUUGAAGAUGGCUGUGCGGCUGAUUAGAUAGUUGGCGGGGUAACGGCCCACCAAGUCUGCGAUCAGUAACUGGUGUGAGAGCACGACCAGUCACACGGGCACUGAGACACGGGCCCGACUCCUACGGGAGGCAGCAGUAAGGAAUAUUGGUCAAUGGACGAAAGUCUGAACCAGCUAUGCCGCGUGGAGGAUGAAGGCCCUCUGGGUUGUAAACUUCUUUUAUAUGGGACGAAAAAGGGUCUUUCUAGAUCAACUGACGGUACCAUGUGAAUAAGCACCGGCUAACUCCGUGCCAGCAGCCGCGGUAAUACGGAGGGUGCAAGCGUUAUCCGGAUUCACUGGGUUUAAAGGGUGCGUAGGUGGGUUGGUAAGUCAGUGGUGAAAUCUCCGAGCUUAACUUGGAAACUGCCAUUGAUACUAUCAGUCUUGAAUAUUGUGGAGGUUAGCGGAAUAUGUCAUGUAGCGGUGAAAUGCUUAGAUAUGACAUAGAACACCAAUUGCGAAGGCAGCUGGCUACACAUAUAUUGACACUGAGGCACGAAAGCGUGGGGAUCAAACAGGAUUAGAUACCCUGGUAGUCCACGCCCUAAACUAUGGAUACUCGACAUAUGCGAUACACUGUAUGUGUCUGAGCGAAAGCAUUAAGUAUCCCACCUGGGAAGUACGAUCGCAGAUUGAAACUCAAGGAAUUGGCGGGGGUCGCACAGCGUGAGCAUGUGUUUAUUUCGAUGAUACGCGAGGACCUUACCUGGGCUAGGAUGCAUUUU